CCUCUGGUGCGGCACGUGAUCGCGCGAGCCUGCUCCCUCACCAUGCUGUCGGAGCAAUAACUGGGCAGCUUGUGCAGCAGAUGCUUCAUCCUGGACUCGCUCUUGGUGGACGUGAGCUGUGGUGGACAAGGCACAAGCAACAUUGGGAUGCAUUCCUCGCGUUUACCGGACAAAAGUCGAAAGCUGGCGUGCGUUCACGCUGAGCACAAGCACCCACUGCCAAUACUGGGAGCGAGUGCCACGCUUGGCUGAAGCUGGAGAUGGGGUUUUCCCGAGCCUGGUAGCAGCACGCGGCAUCUGCGGAGGUCACAGCGAGAGUCACGGUGGGCGAGCAGGAGCAGGAGGAGGAGGAAGAGGAGGAGGAGAUGUGCCGGCGCUGGGGGCCGCACCGCGCGCCCACGUGGCUCGACGCACACCGAGCCCCCGCCGCUAUCGCUGCCCGCGACGAGCAGGCAGUCGCAACCUCCGCCAAUCCCCGCGGAAACGCCGUGAGCCCCGUAAUGAGAGGGGGGAUUAGUGGGAGCGGAUGCUAGGGGACAUGCCCCCCCCCACCCCUACCCCCCUCCGUUCCCUGCUGUUCCCUCUUCUACUCUCCGCAACCCCACUCACCCGAGAGUGUAGUCAGCCGAAUCCCGGAGGAUCGAGAUGCGGUCCCCUUGUGAUGCUGCUGCUGAUACUGCUGAUGAUGCUGCUGCCACUGCUGAUGAUGCUGUUGGGCAUCAGGCUGGCGCAGUGGUGACACUUGUGCCUCGAACCACGAAGGACCUGUGGUCGAUUUCCGACUCGGGCGCCCUUUCCGUGUGCAGUUUGCACAGUAUAUAUUGCUCCCUGUUCUUCCCAAAUUCUGUAUGGACUUCCUCCGGGGUCUCCUGAGUUUCCUGCCACGGCUACAAGACGAAAUAUAAUUGGUGUUGGCGAAUCAUCCGAAUGCAGGAAAAAUAGUAUUGGGACUUCAAUGUGAUUUUCCUUGGUAAAUAAGUAGUGAUAACCACUCUUGAUGCUGCUGCUGCUCGUGAUGAUACUGCUCCAGUAAUCUCUCCCUGCCGCAUCUCUGUCGCCGCGGGGCGGCGCGGCAGGGAGAGAGAACCGCGCAGGGUAGCGCUGUGCUCGUGGUGGGUUCGGGGGGUGGAGGCUCAGCGCGUGGUCUGCGCCGUAGGCAGCCGGAGUGUGUUCGCUUCACUCACCUUGUGCGCGGGCUGUGUGCAGCUGCAGGAGGCGGGCGACAAUCAGCAGCAGCAGCGGCGGCAGCAGCGCGCUCAGCGCCCGGCCAGCGCCCAUGGUCGCAGUGGCAGUGCGCGCAUGUUGGGUCGGUCUGGCCCGGGAGACGCAGCCGGGGUCCGGGCGAGAGAGCGGAGACUCCGAGCGCGGCGCGUCACGGGGUGGCGGGGCGGGCGCACGGAGGAGGAUGAAAGGAGGAGGGCGCGGGGAGGAAGUGUGGGACGCAGGCGGGAGGGAGGAGAGGAUCUGAGGCGAGAUAGGCGAGCAGAGUGGACCCGCACGCGCGGCUCCGCGGGAUCGAGUGGAGCAGCAGCCACAGCGGAGUCCUGCGCUGCGCCUCCUCCCCCCUCCCCUCACGUCCUCCUCCCCCGUCUCGCCUCUCCAAUCACUCCACGCCUCGCUGCCCGCCACAUCCUCACACAUCACCGUGCCUCUGCACGGGAACACCUGUGAGUGGGGUCGCUAUGGAGUGUGCAGGCGGUGGAACUGCAUAGAAUUAUGAAAUGAGGGGGACACGGAACUGAAGGGUGAAACCACUGAACUCCUUGCAUCGGGGCUCAUCCCAACCACGGCUGUAGAACACCGCGGUCAUCGUGGAGUGGCGACGUGAGCCCGGCUCUCGGCGCUACGCGGAGAGUGUACUGCUGACGGCAGAGGGUAGAGUCUUUGACUCACGAAUAU